GGCUUAUUAGAUAAAAAUAAUAGGUCUAUUCUGCCCAUUGAUUAAAAUUAAAAGGCUGCAGUAUAUUGACUGUACAAAGGUAGCAAAAUCAUUUGUUUUUUAAUUGAAAACUGGAAUGAAAGAGUGGAUGAAAUAUAAGUUGUCUCAAUAUAAUAGAGUUGAAUUUAAAUUAAAAGUUAAAAUGCUUUUAUAUAUUUAUAAGACGAUAAGACCCUAUAGAAUUUAAUAAAAUUUAUUUUUUAAAAUUAAUAUUUUAAUAAAAUUUAAUUGAUAAAUAUUAUUUUAUUGGGAGGAUAAUUAAAUUAAUAAAACUUUAAUAAAAUAUAAACAUAGAUGAAUGAAUUAGUUGAUUAUUAUUAUAAUUAUUAGAAUAAAUUACCUUAGGGAUAACAGCGUUAUAAUUUUGGAGAGUUCAUAUUGAUAAAAUUGUUUGCGACCUCGAUGUUGAAUUAUGAUAAAAAUUAAAUGGAGAAAUUUAAUAUUUUAGUCUGUUCGACUAUUAAAAUCAUACA
rnacentral:rRNA from 1 species